rnacentral:rRNA from 1 species
ACUCAAAGGAAUAGACGGGGGCCCGCACAAGCGGCGGAGCGCGUGGCUCAAUUCGAUGCAAAGCGCAGAACCUUACCAGGGUUUGACAUGCAGGAAGUAGAACCCCGAAAGGGGAACGACCCGUAGAGUCGGGUACUUGCACAGGUGCUGCAUGGCUGUCGUCAGCUCGUGCCGUGAGGUGUUGGGUUAAGUCCCGCAACGAGCGCAACCCGUGUCCUUUGUUGCCAGCACGUAAUGGUGGGGACUCAAAGGAGACUGCCGGCGAGAAGCCGGAGGAAGGAGCGGAUGACGUCAAGGCCUCAUGGCCCUUACAUCCUGGGCUGCACACGCGCUACAAUGGCCGGUACAAACCGCUGCAAACCCGCAAGGGUGAGCCAAUCGGAAAAAGCCGGUCCCAGUCCGGAUCGAGGUCUGCAACUCGACCUCGUGAAGUUGGAGUCGCUAGUAAUCGCAGAUCAGCAUUGCUGCGGUGAAUACGUUCCCGGGCCUUGCACACACCGCCCGU